UGGGGAAUUUUGGACAAUGGGCGAAAGCCUGAUCCAGCCAUGCCGCGUGUGUGAAGAAGGUCUUCGGAUUGUAAAGCUCUUUAAGUUGGGAGGAAGGGCAGUAAGCGAAUACCUUGCUGUUUUGACGUUACCGACAGAAUAAGCACCGGCUAACUCUGUGCCAGCAGCGGCGGUAAUACAGAGGGUGCAAGCGUUAAUCGGAAUUACUGGGCGUAAAGCGCGCGUAGGUGGUUCGUUAAGUUGAAUGUGAAAUCCCCGGGCUCAACCUGGGAGCUGCAUCCAAAACUGGCGAGCUAGAGUAGGGCAGAGGGUGGUGGAAUUUCCUGUGUGGCGGUGAAAUGCGUAGAUAUAGGAAGGAACACCAGUGGCGAAGGCGACCACCUGGGCUCAUACUGACACUGAGGUGCGAAAGCGUGGGGAGCAAACAGG
rnacentral:rRNA from 1 species